UACGUAGGGUGCAAGCGUUAAUCGGAAUUACUGGGCGUAAAGCGUGCGCAGGCGGCUUUGCAAGACAGAUGUGAAAUCCCCGGGCUUAACCUGGGAACUGCAUUUGUGACUGCAUGGCUGGAGUGCGGCAGAGGGGGAUGGAAUUCCGCGUGUAGCAGUGAAAUGCGUAGAUAUGCGGAGGAACACCGGUGGCGAAGGCGGCUCACUGGCUCGUUUCUGACGCUCAGGCGCGACAGCGUGGGGAUCAAACAGG
rnacentral:rRNA from 1 species